rnacentral:lncRNA from 10 species
CGAGGAAGGAAACCAGCCCCUCCUCCCAGCGUGGAAGGGUCUUCUCCAUUCCAGACCACAGCAGGGCCCCCAGGAGACAUCUCAGCUUCUGUUGGAGCCUGGCGGCAAAAGGCUGUCCCUAGAAGAUGAAGAGCGAGGAGGUUUGUGGAUCCCAUAUGGGAAGUCUGGAGCUCUGCGCAGAAAUGAAGAUGAGGAGAAGCAGGCGGGAUGCAGAACCUGAGACAGCAACGUUGAAAGCAUGCCCAAGAUUACAAGGCAAAGCCAGAAUUCAAAGCCAGGCCAUCUGAUUCAAGUCUUCACCUCAGCGUGAGUCCUCCUCUUUCCCAGCCCUCAGCUGGGUCUUCAUUCACAAAUGAGGGGCAGGGGAACCUCAUGUGCCAGUGGACAUGAUACCCUGAGGAGGACAUGGUGCCACUUCUGUAGCAAUCAGGCUAAGAAUCUAUUACUUGAGUCUACUGAGGAAACAUCAAAGAAAGCCCAAAGGAGGAGGCAGGGACUGCAUUCUUCAAAACAUCAAUGUAAUAAAAGACAAAGAAAGGCUGAGGAACUAUUUCAGAUUCAAGGAAACUAAAGAGAUUUGACAACUAAAUACAACAUGUGACCCCAGACCAACCCUUGUACUGGAGGGGGAAAUAUGCCAUAAAUGACAUUAUUUAGUCAAUUUGGAUACGGACAGUAGAUUUGGGGGAAAAAACUGUAUCAAUGUUCAAUUUGCUGAAGUUCACAACUGUACUGUGGUCAUGUAAGGGAACCUUACCUUAGGAAAUACACACUGACAUAGUUAGGGAUAAUAUAUGCAUGUCUUUGAUUGAUGGAGACAGGGUGUCAUUGUUGCCCGGCUGGAGUGCCGUGGUGCAAUCUUAAUUCAAACUCCUGGGCUCAGCAAUUUUCCCACCUCAGCCUCCCCAGUAGCAUGCAAUAUGAUAUAUGCAACUUACUCUUGGAUGGUUUUGAGAAAAUGUGGGUAUAUGUGUGUAUAGGUAUAUAUGCACAUGUGAAUGUGUACAUGUGUGUACAUGUAUACAUGUACAUGAAUGCAUGCAUAUGUAUAUAUGAACAUGCAUGUAUGCACAUAUAAUGUAUAUGUACUUAUAAUGUGGAGGGGGCAAGGAGGAAGCAUCAACAAUAAAGCAGUGAGGCAGAAUGGGUGUCUACUAUUCUUACACCUUUUCUUACAACAAUUUCAAAAAUUAUUUCCAGGUAAAAAAUGAAUUUUAAUUUUGUUAAAUCAAUUAACCAUGUUGAUUUUUAUUUAUUAGU